rnacentral:lncRNA from 1 species
CCCACAUAUAAACCAACUCAGCAAGUUAUAUAGAAGAGACAAACACAGAAAUCUGAACUAGUAACUAAUCCAAUUUGCAACACCAAACCGAACAUGCAAAGAAUCGAUUAGAUGUGAUGAUACGGUUUUAGACUCAACUAAGCAAUCCAAUCUGCAACAGAAAACCAAACAUGUGAACCCAUACGAGUAUACGACACAAGACAUGAACCUCUAACCAAACAUGAAAUCACUUCUGCAGUUUAAAAAUCAUAAGUUUAAAUCUGCUCUUAACAGGGAAUCAAAAAAAAAAAAAAANNNNNNNNNNAAAAAAAAAAAAAAAGACAACCUUAAGCAACAACAGACCGAUCUACAAACUUAGAGCAAGAGUUAAAGGGACCCCAAAAAAAAAUGAAAUCGAGUAAGAACAUCCCGCAAUCGAACCAUAGAAUACCGUAGACAUAAACAAUAACAACAGAAGUUAGAAGAAAGCGAGGAAAGAGUUGAAUUCUAACACCUAUAGUGAAAUCGAGCAAAUGUUAGGACUGAGCCCAACCUGUUCGUAAUAAGACAGAAGAGAGUGAGAAGAAGAGUAGAAGAGGAAAGAGAUAGAAGAGAUAGGAGAAAUGUGAUUUUCAAUUUCAUAAAAU